rnacentral:rRNA from 1 species
UACAGAGGUCCCAAGCGUUGUUCGGAUUCACUGGGCGUAAAGGGUGCGUAGGUGGUGAGGUAAGUCGGAUGUGAAAGCUCGGAGCUACACAUCGAAUGCAUUGGAAACUACCUUGCUCGAGGGUUGGAGGGGGGACUGGGAAUGCUUGGUGUAGCAGUGAAAUGCGUAGAUAUCAAGCGGAACACCAGUGGCGAAGGCGAGUCCCUGGACAACUCCUGACACUGAGGCACGAAAGCUAGGGGAGCAAACAGG